AGGCUUUGCUGAAUGACUCCGCUUGUGCAUAAAAAUGCUCUGAACCUCAAACACCGAGCUGCACUUGUGCACCAGGAGUUCCAGACUUGGAAGCUAGCAAGCAAGAAGACCUACAGCAAGAUAAAGCACCUCCAUACAGCUUUUACCUGCUAAUAGCAUUUCUAUCAUUGCAAGAUCUGGCAAGAGAGUCAAACGCCACGUUUUCCCAAAGGCCCUGCGCGUAGUGCAGCAGCUGAGCAGCGUCCCUCAGCUUCUGGAGGAUUUGGAGUGCACACGGGACACCUCCGCUUUGACCUCAAUACAUGAACGUGCACAAGGAAUUUCCCCUGAACAUUUAUUAUCC